AAGUGGAGCUGAAAGUCAGAGUCUGUCAGGUGGAGGUGGAGGAGGGGGCGGAGUCUGUCCAGCUGCCCUUCAGUACCUCAAAAAACCUGCCUGAAGAUUCUAAAGUGGAGUGGUUGGACAAUUACAGGAAGGUCCACCUGUAUAUGAACGGCUCUGACCAGCCUGAAGAACAGCACCAGGUUUACAGAGACCGAACGAAGGUGAACAAAGACCUGCUGAAAACUGGAGACCUCAGUCUGACCCUGAAACACCCCACAGAGGCAGACAGUGGUGGAUACAGAUGUUUAGUCUGGAGAAAGGAAACGUUAAUCAGAAAGAAAAUAGUGGUGCUCAAAGUCAAAGGGAGAGUUCAGGUCCAGGAUCAAACAGGG